AAGGCCAUGCAUGCAACAAUUAAAUCUCGUUCUAAAAUUAAGAUCAUAAUUUUCCUCCUUUCUUGUUUUUUUUUUCCUUUCUUAUUUUUCUUUAUAAGUGACUUUCGUGAGUCGUGUUGGUGGCAAUGACCGUUCACCCACAAUGAAGGUUUCAAAAAAGUUUACAUGCAUGGGCAACAUUACUCAUGGUUUAAAGAAACAAAUUUACUGCAUUCCAUUCACGAUCCAACGCUUUGAGAAGCGUAUUGUCUUCUUUAGGGACAAUCUGAAGUCGCAACUCGCAAGUCACUGCCCCAAAAUUGAACCAACUAGACUAGAAUGUUGAAACAAUAGCUCGUGCAUCAAUGUAUUUUACUGAAGAAUUAUACUUACAUUCAUUCAGUGAACAAAGACAGUAUGGAAGCAUCUCAACUGAUAUU